ACGUAGGUGGCAAGCGUUGUCCGGAAUUACUGGGUGUAAAGGGAGCGCAGGUGGGAUGGAAAGUCGAAUGUGAAAUCUACGGGCUCAACUCGUAAAUUGCGUUCGAAACUAUCGUUCUUGAGUGAAGUAGAGGCAGGCGGAAUUCCCGGUGUAGCGGUGGAAUGCGUAGAUAUCGGGAGGAACACCAGUGGCGAAGGCGACCUGCUGGGCUUUAACUGACACUGAGGCUCGAAAGCGUGGGUAGCAAACAGGAUUAGAUACCCUGGUAGUCCCUGA
rnacentral:rRNA from 1 species